ensembl:lncRNA
AUGUAAAGUAUUUUCUAACCCUGUAUCUUCAUCAAUCUUAUGAUUGAAGCCUGUCUUUUAUUUGGCUGGCAUUUUGCCAACUCAGCCACCGCAUUGGACAAGAUUUUUUUAGCUGCAAGGUGUGGUGUGUGACCAGGUGUGGUGUGUGACCAGGUGUGGUGUGUGACCAGGUGUGGUGUGUGACCAGGUGUGGUGUGGUGCUGUGGGGUGAGUUCUGCGGUGUUGUCAUGUCCCGUUGUGUGUGGGGUUGGCGUUGAACUGCCCUACUGUGUGCACGUGUGUGUGUGUACACAAGGUUACAUGAUGUUGGAGCCUAUCUGUUGGCUGACGAGGAGUGCAGUCUGAUCCAGCAGGUUCACGCCAUCAGUAAUGUAGAGGAGUCUAUCUACAUGGAGUCUUCUGUCCAGCCCUAUGGGCCCCAGGCCAGGUAAAACACAACAUGGAGUCUUCUGUCUAGUCCUAUGGGCCCCAGGCCAGGUAAAACACAGCAUGGAGUCUUCUGUCUAGUCCAAUGGGCCACAGGCCAGGUAAAACACAACAUGGAGUCUUCUGUCUAGUCCAAUGGGCCCCAGGCCAGGUAAAACACAGCAUGGAGUCUUCUGUCCAGCCCUAUGGGCCCCAGGCCAGGUAAAACACAGCAUGGAGUCUUCUGUCUAGUCCAAUGGGCCCCAGGCCAGGUAAAACACAACAUGGAGUCUUCUGUCUAGUCCUAUGGGCCCCAGGCCAGGUAAAACACAGCAUGGAGUCUUCUGUCUAGUCCUAUGGGCCCCAGGCCUGGUAAAACACAGCAUGGAGUCUUCUGUCUAGUCUUAUGGGCCCCAGGUAAAACACAGCAUCUGACAAACUGGGAGCUAAGGGACAGCUGUUUGUCACUGGCUGGGUACAUGCAGGUAUGGUGGACGUUGAUGUGGCAACGGCAAGCACUGUUGGGGGAGGAGAUUGCUGUAGCCUCCGUUAUUAUAUGAAGAGGAGAUUAUAAUGAAGGCUACAGACAUAACGAGCUACAUCUAAGUACUUUGGCCUCAACCUUUAAUAAACAACAGCCUUUGAUCUGUUUUCACCCAGUGUACCUGAUGGAACUCACUGACUACCUUUUUAAUGGGCAUCUAUCAUUACUUUUGAAGGUACCGGUCGAUGUCUUAGUCCUACAAAUAGCUGGUUGGUCUGGUUUGUGUGUGGCUGCUUGCUGAAUAAGCUUUGUUGUGCAGAAUGCUGGUGGGAGGAAGGUAUUUAUCUUCCUCUGAGGUACAGGUCAUAGUUAAGCAGGAUGGCAGUUGUCUAUCUGAUGGACUCUUCCUGCUAAACCUGCUUGAAUGGGUUAGGGUUUCUGCUGCUGUGUCAGAUAUCACUGUGAAGAUUAAUGGGUUGUUGAGCUGUGUGUGUGUGUGUGUGUGUGUGUGUGUGUGUGUGUGUGUGUGUGUGUGUGUGUGUGUGUGUGUGUGUGAGAUUUCAAGUGUGUGUGUGUGUGUGUGUGUGUGAGAGAGAAUGUGUGUGUGUGUGUGAGAGAGAGUGUGUGUGUGAGAGAGGGAGAUAAUGUGAGUGUGAACACGAGAUUGUGUGUUUGGCAAUUUUAUAAGUUAGAGCUUUCUGCUAACCUCUGCACUUCAGAAAUUCCUCUCGCUUCUAGAGCCUCCCCUCUCCUUCUCCCCCUCCCCUCUCCUUCUCCCCCUCCCCUCUCCUUUCCCUCCCCUCUCAGCCUCCUGUCUUCCCUCCAUGUUGUUGUCUCAUACUGUUAGUACUGUAUGUUAUAGUCAGGGUUGUGCUCAGUGGACCUAGAAACUGAGGCACUAUAUUCAAUCAGUACAGUCAAAAUGCUUGUUAAUUUCCACCUCGUGUACCUAUUGAAUGUGACCCGGACUUAGGGCUUUUCUCUUGUUUCUGUUUCCCUAGCAGACCCUCCUCCCCAUCCCUCACUCUUUCUGUCCAUAGCCAAUACUUUCCUCGCCUUUUAGGUUUCACCCAAUAAAUAAGAGUUAUUGUCAGAUUGACCAAACAAAUCUAAUGUUCCAGUAACAGCCACUCAAAUGUUGGUGUAUGUGGUACUGCUCGCAACACAGACUUAGCCUGGUUAAACUAGCCUGAACGCUGAACUCCCCAUUCUAGGGAAGUGAAACAAUGGUGAGCGCAGCAUUCAGUCUGGUUCAACCAG